UACAGAGGGGCAAGCGUUAUUCGGAAUUAUUGGGCGUAAAGGGCGCGUAGGCGGCCUUUCAAGUGACGGGUGAAAUCCCUCGGCUUAACCGAGGAACUGCCUGUCAGACUGGGAGGCUUGAGACCCGGGAGAGGUGAGUGGAAUUCCCAGUGUAGCGGUGAAAUGCGUAGAUAUCGGGGGGAACAUCAGUGGCGAAAGCGGCACCCUGGCAUUAGCCUGACGCUCUGUGCGAAAGCGUGGGGAGCGAACGGG
rnacentral:rRNA from 1 species